rnacentral:lncRNA from 1 species
UCAUAUAAGAGAAGGGGUGCUUAGAGGCCUAGUAGGUUUAUAACAGUUUGUAAAGGUUAGGGAUUGCCCAUGGCAAUGAAAAGUCCUAUAUGGUGGUUUCACGAUGGUUUUAGAGAUCUUACUCACGUGGGGGCAAGAGGCCAUAUUCUGCAAGUGUGUUGCUUUAGGUGUUAAGUGUGUGAGUUAUGAUCUCCUCUUCUCCCGUUGAGGGAGAAGUAUACAUAGGGGUCUUUUGGGUCUAAGGUUUAGGAAACCCUUUGAUGUAGUAUUCGC